UAAGGAAUAUUGGUCAAUGGACGCAAGUCUGAACCAGCCAUGCCGCGUGGUGGAUUAAGGCCCUCUGGGUUGUAAACUCCUUUUAUCUGGGAAGAAAUGUACUUUUUCUUGAGUACUUGACGGUACCAGAGGAAUAAGCACCGGCUAACUCCGUGCCAGCAGCCGCGGUAGUACGGAGGGUGCAAGCGUUAUCCGGAUUCACUGGGUUUAAAGGGUGCGUAGGUGGGCAGGUAAGUCAGUGGUGAAAUCUCCGGGCUUAACCCGGAAACUGCCGUUGAUACUAUUUGUCUUGAAUAUUGUGGAGGUAAGCGGAAUAUGUCAUGUAGCGGUGAAAUGCCUAGAUAUGACAUAGAACGCCAAUUGCGAAGGCAGCUUACUACACAAUCAUUGACGCUGAGGCACGAAAGCGUGGGGAUCAAACA
rnacentral:rRNA from 1 species